UACGUAGGUGGCAAGCGUUGUCCGGAUUUACUGGGCGUAAAGAGCGCGCAGGCGGUCGUGCAAGUCGCGUGUGAAAGCCCCCGGCUCAACUGGGGAGGGUCACGCGAUACUGUUCGAACUUGAAGGCAGGAGAGGGAAGUGGAAUUCCCGGUGUAGUGGUGAAAUGCGCAGAUAUCAGGAAGAACACCUAUGGCGAAGGCAGCUCUCUGGGACGGUACUGACGCUGGGGUGCGAAAGCGUGGGGAGCAAACAGG
rnacentral:rRNA from 1 species